UGUAUGUUUCCGUAUUAUACAGUUAUAUUCAAGUUAUUUAUUUGGUAAAGUCACUUAUGGGUUUCCAUACAUAUAAAGUAGAGAGAUUGUUGUUCAUGGUCUAGUAAUUCUUAACUUUGGUUGGUUGGUUUUAAGGUUAAAGGUUGAAUUCUUUGAAGGUAGAGUAAUUUUGGGGUGUUUGAUUUAAUUUCUCCAGUGACUACUGUUGAGAGCGGUCUGAUAUAUCUAUAUUAUUAUAUUCAAGACAGACUUGGGACUAAGACCUAAAAGUCAUUCCAUAAGCAAGUAAUUAAUACAGCGAUGUCAAUGCAUAAGUUCUGAUACCAUAUAUCUGGUAAGAUCUAUGUUUUGUGUGACUAACAUAUAAAUGUAUGUGGUGUCCAAAUUGUCUAAACUUUGUCUAUACUAAUUUUGACCUUUAUAUCUAAAAGUCAUAAUUAUGCAUAUAUGUGAUAAAUUUACAUAUUGAUUAUUCUUAAUAAUAAUGGUGAAAUAUGAACAAUUGAUUUGAUUUUAAUUUGAUCUAUUUUCCAUUUCAUUAAAGUAGUAAAUGUGAUUGAAUUAUGAAAUGGAGCUAUUGUACUUGAUAUAUGUGUUUGUGUUGUCUUGUGAUGUGUAUGUUUAUGUACGUUUGUGUAUGUUUCAGAACUAUAUCUCAUUCGAUCAUCACAAUAAAAUCUGUUACGAUACA